rnacentral:rRNA from 1 species
AGAGUUUGAUCCUGGCUCAGAUUGAACGCUGGCGGCAUGCCUUACACAUGCAAGUCGAACGGUAACAGGGAGCUUGCUCCGCUGACGAGUGGCGAACGGGUGAGUAAUAUAUCGGAACGUACCUUUGAGUGGGGGAUAACUAGUCGAAAGAUUAGCUAAUACCGCGUACGAUCUACGGAUGAAAGCGGGGGAUCGCAAGACCUCGUGCUCAUAGAGCGGCCGAUAUCUGAUUAGCUAGUUGGUGAGGUAAAGGCUCACCAAGGCUUCGAUCAGUAGCUGGUCUGAGAGGACGACCAGCCACACUGGGACUGAGACACGGCCCAGACUCCUACGGGAGGCAGCAGUGGGGAAUUUUGGACAAUGGGGGCAACCCUGAUCCAGCAAUGCCGCGUGAGUGAAGAAGGCCUUCGGGUUGUAAAGCUCUUUUGUCAGGGAAGAAAC